rnacentral:misc_RNA from 1 species
UAUAAAGGUAAUAUCACAGUGUAGAUAGUCGGAUAAAUAGAUGAAAAUU